rnacentral:piRNA from 1 species
CAUUGGAUUCUAUAUAAUUCU